rnacentral:lncRNA from 1 species
AGAAACUUCUCCACCACCUGCCGAGACACUGUGGUUCCCUCUCAGCCCAGGGCUAGGAGGAAGACUCUUCCUAGGACUCCUUGCAUCUGCUGUACCCACCUAUAUUCUUCAGGGCUAUCUUUACAACUUACUAGCCAACCUUUUGCUACUCUAAUCUGCUAUUAAGGUUAAUGAUUAAACAUAUUAAACAUUUCCAUUCAAAUGACUGUGUGGUUUCUCUCUCCUAGUUGGACCCAGACUGACACUCUUGCCUGAGGGCACAGACCAGGGAGCAGCAAUCAAUACUGGACACCAGGCAGCUUCCACGCUUGACAGUGUUGCCAGACCCUCGCGUGGGCAGGAGGGCACAGGUCUGAUGCCGUGUGUGCUGAUGUGAGAUCUCUAAUUCAUACUGGAGGGCAAGGCAGAGAGGGCACGUGUCAGGAGAGAACCCCAGGGUAGAGUUUUAAACAGUUUGCAGCAGAUAUGUAAAAGAAAGGCAUUUCAGAAAGAGGGGACAGUAUGUACAGCAGCGGGAGGAGGGAAGGAAGGGUGACAACUUCAGGGAAGGGACAGAGGUAUCACCAAGCUCCUGCUUCAUCCCUAAACCUUUUGUUUCAUUCCCAGGGAGAAUCCUAGUAAGAUUUAGAGUCUGCAGGAUCCUAAAUCUUGUUCUCAAUGGUUUUACCAGCUUUUCUCUUACCAGCUCUCUAGGAGGCAACAUUAUCCACUGGAGCAUCUAGAAGCACAAGUACUUCCAUGAUGGUCAGAGGCAGAAGAGGAUGCGGAGCAGGUCAGUGGUGCCUGCUGGGUCUUGGGCAGCAUUUUAUACCUUAUGUUAUCUAUCCUGGCCACCUACUUCAUAACAGAAUAUAUAACAGAGAAAUACUUGAAUUUUUAUAAUAAUUGCAUUUAUUUCCAUUUGUGUUGUAAAAACUAGCUUGUUCUUAGCUUCCCAAACAGACAUAUUUAUAAAUAAUGUGUAUUAUAAACAUUUGGAAGAACAGACAGCAAAGUUGGACCAUUAGGCUAUUUCUUAACAAAAGAACUGUUUUAAUGGGGCGGGGCAGGAGGAGUAUUGUAGAAAACACUGAAGUUACGUCAGAGCUUCCAUAGAAAUGGAUUCUUUUCUCUGGUGAGGAAUGGGGCGGGGUGACUGAGGGCCCUCUGACUGCUCCAGGUCACAAAGAGAUGGGCUGAUUGUUCCACAGCCUCGGGCAUUGCACCCACCGGUUUCCAAGUCAGCCUCUAGCAUUGGGUGGUGUACAUGUUCAGAAAGGUUUCAAAUAUACUAUAUGAUGACCCACAUUUUGGCAUUUGCAUAACUGGCAGGUGCUGAGAUUGAAAUUUAAAAGGAGAUGGAUUUGGAUCCCAAAAGUUUGAUGUAAAAGAUUCCCCAGGGAUGUAAACAAACUUGCUUGUAUCAGGCCUCUCUGAUGGGCAGGAAACAGCAGGGGAGAAGAAAUCAGAAGCAAAAGGUACAAUUUAGAAGCAAAAACAUUAAGGGGACUGUAUCCAGUGGGUUACAUGGAGGUGGUUUCCCCACAACAGAUUGUUGACCUAUUUUCUCGAGGGUUAUUGUUUCUGUUUGGCUUGGGUCAGU